UCUUCCAAGUCGCAGCCCACUUGGAAUUUUAUACAAAUUUGAAUCUCACGAAACACAAGUCAGCAUUAUACGACUCUUUCCACCUUCUCUUCCUUCUUUAUUUUCUCCUCUUUUCUUUAAUCAUUUUCUACAUGAUGUGUAUUUAGGUUGGUGUUUUAUUUUGUGAAAUAUAGCUAAAACUGCAACUACAAAAAAAAGGUAUUUUUGAGAUGCACUUUGCUUCUUUAUCUCC